UCAGACCUAAGCAAUAGUACCGGAGUCCUCAGACUUAACACAGAGAAGUCCUCAAAAUUUUACACAGAUACCCUCGGGUCAAAGAAAAAGAUACAGCCGAGCCCUUGGGUGAGGCGGACAAGGGUCGGCGAAACAGACAGGGUCGGGCGAGAUGGAAAAAGGGGUCGGGCGAACCGGAAAGGGGUCGGCAGCUUACCUCUGGGCCUACUGGUGAAGUCUUGGGGUCGAGAAGGAAUAGACUUAGGCGGAAGGACUCGAGGUGCCUAGGCCUUGGUGGUGGCGGGGUUCGGCAAUGCUCCAGCGGCGGCGGUGCUUCUUGUGGACAACAAGCAAGCUCUAACACCGU
rnacentral:lncRNA from 1 species